rnacentral:lncRNA from 1 species
AAAUUUGAGAUGAUAAAAUUUAUAUAAAUUCUUAUGUAUUGUAAAGUUUUAAAUUGUAUUUAUAAAUUUAACCUUGGGAUCAAAAUUAUAAUUAAAAAUUGCCAGAGGUCACUGACAGAGAGAGAGAGAGAAAGAGAGAGAGAGAGAGAGAGAACAUAUAUUUCCUAUUCUGUUAUAACCAAUAAUAUAACAAAUGAUAUAUAACCUAAGAGAUUUGUGUGCGAUCCAUUUGUAAAUGGUGAUACAUGCAAGAUAGAAGUGGGUGGAAUACUUAUUAUAUGAAACAAUCUACCCCUGGAAUCUAAGUAAGAAACCCAGCAGACUCUAUACUUGAAGGAUAACAGAUCCUCCGAUAACUCUAAAAAAGCCAGAUGACAAAGAGCAAAGUAGUCAAAUGGGUAGUUAGUCAGGAAGUAUCCAAUUUUCCUCAGAAGUGAGGGCAGUGACUUGAACCAGAAUGAAUCAAAGAUCAAAAGCUCUAGGACCAUAUUAAAGCUGAAGAAUUUGUUAUUAAUUAGGUCUAGUCUAAGCAAGCAUGUAGUGUGACUGCUAGGUUCAUUAGGGGAGAAUAAAGAGGGACCAAAGUUCAGAAAGGGGGAAAUGGUCCCUAUAUUUUGGCUCUCUUGUGCUACAGGAGUCUGUUUAUGAGACACCGUGACUAGAUCCUUUGGGUAAGUAGUAUUUACACUAAUCUAAAACCAUUGCACAUAUCCAGAGCAAAGAUAGCAAUUUGCAACUCUUCCAAUGAUGAGAAAUUACAUGCAUUAAUACCUUUUCUUGAGAUACUAACAUUCAAAAUGAAACUUGAGGCAGUAAUUGCAAUUAAGCAUAGAAGGAAAAUGAUGUCAUAAUGGUGCCAUAAAUGAAAAGGAAAAAUUAUUUUUGCGCUGUGCACACAGAGGAACUAAGUAUAUAUUUUUUCUUUCCUUUUUCUUUUCUCUUCUUUUCUUUCUUUUCUUUUUGGACUGUCAUCUGUUAGGCCACACCAUGAUAUUUUAAUAGACAAAUCAACUGUUUUCUAAUCCUUAUGAUGAUCCAAUUCUUGAAGUAACUAGCCUCUUAUUUUUUAUUAUUUUAUAGUGGAAACUGUGCCAAGCACAGCACUCCAAAUUGCUACUAUAACUGUAACAAAUCCAUGGAAUGCACUUAAAUUCAAGUUCAUGGGUUUGUUUAAUGCAAAUGUUUAAAUUGCUUUAAAUUAUUUCUUAUUGUAUUACAAAAUGCUUUUGUAAGUGUAUUUAACUCAGAAACCACUGUAAUGCCUGUUAAUGAUACAGUAGCAUUAGGUCAAAUGUAUCCUCAAACCACUCUAAGUGAACUUCUGACUUUUCCUAUU